rnacentral:rRNA from 1 species
UACAGAGGUCCCAAGCGUUGUUCGGAUUCACUGGGCGUAAAGGGUGCGUAGGCGGUCGGGUAAGUCUGAUGUGAAAUCUCACAGCUUAACUGUGAAACUGCAUUGGAUACUAUCCGGCUCGAGGAAUGGAGGGGAGACUGGAAUACUUGGUGUAGCAGUGAAAUGCGUAGAUAUCAAGUGGAACACCAGUGGCGAAGGCGGCCGGCUGGGGUGACCUGACGCUGGAGGCGCGAAAGCGUGGGAGCGAACCGG